CCAUCGGUGGUUUAGUGAUAGAAUGCUCGCCUGCCACGCGGGCGGGCCGGGUUCGAUUCCCGGCCGAUGCU
rnacentral:tRNA from 1 species